rnacentral:lncRNA from 1 species
AAAACACACCCUCGAAAGAUGGCUCAGCUGCUUUGGAAUCAUGGCAAGGAAGAAUUCACCAUUUCUGCUGCUGGGCCGAGUUCCUUUCGGAUUCCAGUGAAGUGAGCAGCUCCCGCCUGGAUUUUUCUUUGUCUUCGGAGGAGCGGGACCUGGUUUUAACUGGCACAUCUUCGUGUUGCUCACUCCUUAAGUAGUUUCACUUACUUUUUAACUGUUACAUGCCAACAAAACAGGUUGCUUAAUUGGUUUGACCUUUCACAGUAUUUUUUAAUUUUUCAAUCUUCGUUUCAUAGUUCCAUCUGGCCCUUUAAAACGACAUCUGGUUAACUGUACUUAACCAGCUGAUCACUGUACAGUUAUUUUUAAAUGUAAUGUAUGCUUAAACAGAUGUUAUUUUUAUAGAUGUGGAUCUAAACUGCACUUGUGUACGUGCUAUGUCUGCAUAAACUCUUUCUGUAAUUCAAAUGUUGACACCCAAAAUUACAAGCCAGAAUGCUUAUGAACUCCACUAUUAUGGUACUGCACUUUUGUGCUGCUUGUUAGGUAAACAUCAAUUCAGUUCUUUUUUUCUCUCUUCAUUGCACAUAAAUAAAACAUUAGCAUUUAGUUUAUAAAGUGAUGAACAUUUUGCUGUGUUGGAUUUAGCUUUAUAAAUACAACUGCUGUCAGCAAGAAAAAAGGAUUUAUUGAAUAAAUAAUAAGAAAGCUAAGGGAAAAUGAAAAUAUAUAUAUUAUGCAAAACAUGGUGUCUGUCAACAGGUCACAAAGGGGCCUCGAUGCUUUUGGUGUUGCUGUCGGAGAUAAUUCCAUCUCUGACACACAGUGUUGUGGAGUCCUGGACCUUCCUCUCACGGCAGAUUUCAAGAGCAAGCAAAGCCGCCUUCUCACGACCUGGAGAAACACUGACUUGAAGUCAAAGCAGGAUACCGGAGCUUCCGAAGGGCUCGGGGGCCCCGAAGAUCACCCAAAUAAACAGAACGAGGAAGCCAUACACAGGCAUAACCCCGGGUUUAUUUGUACCUGUCUUUGUCAGACAGCUGCAGUGCACAUGAGAGUCAUGAUCAGAGAAACAGAUCUACGGUACCCUACUGUAAUAUAAACUAUCCGUUUUUUAUUCUCCAUAAACACCACAGGCAAAUUCUUGUUCCUAUUUGACCAGCUGGGGUCCAAAAUGUACCUACCCAGUGCUUGGAGGUUUUCAUCCUACCGCCAAGGUCCAUUUCCACAUGAGUGUUCUGGUUUGUGCAUUUCAAGAUGCUUCUAUAGCAUUUAUGCACUUAUUUGUGGCUUAUCAGCUCAGGCUACAGAAUCAACUUUGGUAUAGAUUGGCAAGAGAGACAAAAUAGCCAUUUGAGAGUACGAAGUUUGGGUGUUAUGUCUGGCUGGAGGAAGCAGAUGGAGCAGAGAGAACUUCUGGAAAAAUUCUCCUGCAGGGACAGUCGUGGGUGUCUGUUUCUACUUUAUGGGGAAAAACAGUCCUGUUUUUAUGUUUGCUUCUCUCUAGUUAUUCCUCACAACAAGCCUCACCUGAGACGUAGGCAAAAAACAACCACAGUGAAAAUAAAAUCAUUCCUUCCCAUCACACACACAGUAAGACUGCUUUUCACUAAACAUCCAGCUGCACUGUUCGGAUGAGAUGAUGUGUUUAGGACCAAGAAGAGACCAAAUGCAAGGUCACGUGUUACAUUUGAGAAGGCACAUGUUAUGUCAGACAAAAUUUUUUUGGUUUUGGUUAUUAAUUCCUUUUUUAUAGAUAUUUCUUUUUUUUUUUCUUAGAAAACUGCAGGUUGAGGGAAGUAAAGUUACUUUUGACUAAAAAAAUGCACACAGAAUGAUAGGAGGCUGGAUUUGUUGGAUAGCUUUUGACCAUAUUUUUAUCAUUAAUUUCAUUAUGGCAUAAAUUAUAAUAGCGAAAAUGGAAACAGUACUCAUGCUAGGGGCUGUUUAAGUAACCACUGACAUGGCAAAAUUAUGUCAUUAUGCUAAGUGGCAAAAAAAAAUAACUGCGUAUAUAUUACACAAUCUCAAAUAGGAAUAUGUCAUAGGCAGAGGGAAAAAAAAACCUAAAAAAUAUCAAUAUAUUCAUAAUAACUAUUCCUGGGUAGUAGGCUCAUGAACUAUUUUUAUUUUCAUCUUCUUGUUUUUAUGUAUUUCCCAAAUGUUUUACAUUGAACAUAUAUUUCUUUAAUAAUCACAAAAAUGUGAUGGAAAGCAUGAUAAAGUCAUUUUCUCCUAAGAAAGGCAUUUGUUACCUUAAUAACAUGAGUUCUGGCAUCUUUGGGCAAGAAUGCAAGUAGAUAUGAAGUAUACUGAGUUAUAUUUUUGUAGGAAUUUUAUUAAAUUUGGAAGAGAUGAAUUAGGGAACUCUUUUUCCUCGCAGUAAGAUACCUUAAGAUCAUCUGCUACCUGGUUACUGAAAUAAUGCCCUAGAUGGUCUCCCUGACUAUAUUAAUCCCUCUCUUUGUCUCUUCCUCCCUCUUUUUUCUUCCUUUCUUCCCUUCCUUAAUAAACAUGUAUUGAUUGUUAAAUGUAUGCCAGG